rnacentral:rRNA from 1 species
UUAAGCGACUAAGCGUACACGGUGGAUGCCCUGGCAGUCAGAGGCGAUGAAGGACGUGCUAAUCUGCGAUAAGCGUCGGUAAGGUGAUAUGAACCGUUAUAACCGGCGAUUUCCGAAUGGGGAAACCCAGUGUGAUUCGUCACACUAUCAUUAACUGAAUCCAUAGGUUAAUGAGGCGAACCGGGGGAACUGAAACAUCUAAGUACCCCGAGGAAAAGAAAUCAACCGAGAUUCCCCCAGUAGCGGCGAGCGAACGGGGAGGAGCCCAGAGCCUGAAUCAGUGUGUGUGUUAGUGGAAGCGUCUGGGAAAGGCGCGCGAUACAGGGUGACAGCCCCGUACACAAAAAUGCACAUGCUGUGAGCUCGAUGAGUAGGGCGGGACACGUGGUAUCCUGUCUGAAUAUGGGGGGACCAUCCUCCAAGGCUAAAUACUCCUGACUGACCGAUAGUGAACCAGUACCGUGAGGGAAAGGCGAAAAGAACCCCGGCGAGGGGAGUGAAAAAGAACCUGAAACCGUGUACGUACAAGCAGUGGGAGCCUCUUUAUGGGGUGACUGCGUACCUUUUGUAUAAUGGGUCAGCGACUUAUAUUCUGUAGCAAGGUUAACCGAAUAGGGGAGCCGAAGGGAAACCGAGUCUUAACUGGGCGUUAAGUUGCAGGGUAUAGACCCGAAACCCGGUGAUCUAGCCAUGGGCAGGUUGAAGGUUGGGUAACACUAACUGGAGGACCGAACCGACUAAUGUUGAAAAAUUAGCGGAUGACUUGUGGCUGGGGGUGAAAGGCCAAUCAAACCGGGAGAUAGCUGGUUCUCCCCGAAAGCUAUUUAGGUAGCGCCUCGUGAACUCAUCUCCGGGGGUAGAGCACUGUUUCGGCAAGGGGGUCAUCCCGACUUACCAACCCGAUGCAAACUGCGAAUACCGGAGAAUGUUAUCACGGGAGACACACGGCGGGUGCUAACGUCCGUCGUGAAGAGGGAAACAACCCAGACCGCCAGCUAAGGUCCCAAAGUCAUGGUUAAGUGGGAAACGAUGUGGGAAGGCCCAGACAGCCAGGAUGUUGGCUUAGAAGCAGCCAUCAUUUAAAGAAAGCGUAAUAGCUCACUGGUCGAGUCGGCCUGCGCGGAAGAUGUAACGGGGCUAAACCAUGCACCGAAGCUGCGGCAGCGACGCUGAUGCGUUGUUGGGUAGGGGAGCGUUCUGUAAGCCUGUGAAGGUGUGCUGUGAGGCAUGCUGGAGGUAUCAGAAGUGCGAAUGCUGACAUAAGUAACGAUAAAGCGGGUGAAAAGCCCGCUCGCCGGAAGACCAAGGGUUCCUGUCCAACGUUAAUCGGGGCAGGGUGAGUCGACCCCUAAGGCGAGGCCGAAAGGCGUAGUCGAUGGGAAACAGGUUAAUAUUCCUGUACUUGGUGUUACUGCGAAGGGGGGACGGAGAAGGCUAUGUUGGCCGGGCGACGGUUGUCCCGGUUUAAGCGUGUAGGCUGGUUUUCCAGGCAAAUCCGGAAAAUCAAGGCUGAGGCGUGAUGACGAGGCACUACGGUGCUGAAGCAACAAAUGCCCUGCUUCCAGGAAAAGCCUCUAAGCAUCAGGUAACAUCAAAUCGUACCCCAAACCGACACAGGUGGUCAGGUAGAGAAUACCAAGGCGCUUGAGAGAACUCGGGUGAAGGAACUAGGCAAAAUGGUGCCGUAACUUCGGGAGAAGGCACGCUGAUAUGUAGGUGAAGUCCCUCGCGGAUGGAGCUGAAAUCAGUCGAAGAUACCAGCUGGCUGCAACUGUUUAUUAAAAACACAGCACUGUGCAAACACGAAAGUGGACGUAUACGGUGUGACGCCUGCCCGGUGCCGGAAGGUUAAUUGAUGGGGUCAGCGCAAGCGAAGCUCUUGAUCGAAGCCCCGGUAAACGGCGGCCGUAACUAUAACGGUCCUAAGGUAGCGAAAUUCCUUGUCGGGUAAGUUCCGACCUGCACGAAUGGCGUAAUGAUGGCCAGGCUGUCUCCACCCGAGACUCAGUGAAAUUGAACUCGCUGUGAAGAUGCAGUGUACCCGCGGCAAGACGGAAAGACCCCGUGAACCUUUACUAUAGCUUGACACUGAACAUUGAGCCUUGAUGUGUAGGAUAGGUGGGAGGCUUAGAAGUGUGGACGCCAGUCUGCAUGGAGCCGACCUUGAAAUACCACCCUUUAAUGUUUGAUGUUCUAACGUUGACCCGUAAUCCGGGUUGCGGACAGUGUCUGGUGGGUAGUUUGACUGGGGCGGUCUCCUCCUAAAGAGUAACGGAGGAGCACGAAGGUUGGCUAAUCCUGGUCGGACAUCAGGAGGUUAGUGCAAUGGCAUAAGCCAGCUUGACUGCGAGCGUGACGGCGCGAGCAGGUGCGAAAGCAGGUCAUAGUGAUCCGGUGGUUCUGAAUGGAAGGGCCAUCGCUCAACGGAUAAAAGGUACUCCGGGGAUAACAGGCUGAUACCGCCCAAGAGUUCAUAUCGACGGCGGUGUUUGGCACCUCGAUGUCGGCUCAUCACAUCCUGGGGCUGAAGUAGGUCCCAAGGGUAUGGCUGUUCGCCAUUUAAAGUGGUACGCGAGCUGGGUUUAGAACGUCGUGAGACAGUUCGGUCCCUAUCUGCCGUGGGCGCUGGAGAACUGAGGGGGGCUGCUCCUAGUACGAGAGGACCGGAGUGGACGCAUCACUGGUGUUCGGGUUGUCAUGCCAAUGGCACUGCCCGGUAGCUAAAUGCGGAAGAGAUAAGUGCUGAAAGCAUCUAAGCACGAAACUUGCCCCGAGAUGAGUUCUCCCUGACCCUUUAAGGGUCCUGAAGGAACGUUGAAGACGACGACGUUGAUAGGCCGGGUGUGUAAGCGCAGCGAUGCGUUGAGCUAACCGGUACUAAUGAACCGUGAGGCUUAACCUU